UGGGGAAUCUUCCGCAAUGGACGAAAGUCUGACGGAGCAACGCCGCGUGAGUGAAGAAGGUUUUCGGAUCGUAAAACUCUGUCUUUUGGGGCGAACGUGAGUAUGGUGAACAAUCAUAGUCAGUGACGGUACCAAAGGAGGAAGCCACGGCUAACUACGUGCCAGCAGCCGCGGUAAUACGUAGGUGGCAAGCGUUGUCCGGAAUUAUUGGGCGUAAAGAGCGCGUAGGCGGGAUAGUCAGUCUGUUGUAAAGUGCGGGGCUCAACCCCGUGAUCGCAAUGGAAACAGCUAUUCUUGAGUGCAGGAGAGGAAAGUGGAAUUCCCAGUGUAGCGGUGAAAUGCGUAGAUAUUGGGAGGAACACCAGUGGCGAAGGCGACUUUCUGGACUGUGUCUGACGCUGAGGCGCGAAAGCCAGGGGAGCGAACGGGAUUAGAUACCCCGGUAGUCCUGGCCGUAAACGAUGGGUACUAGGUGUGGGAGGUAUCGACCCCUUCCGUGCCGGAGUUAACGCAAUAAGUACCCCGCCUGGGGAGUACGGUCGCAAGACUGAAACUCAAAGGAAUUGAC
rnacentral:rRNA from 1 species